rnacentral:rRNA from 1 species
CUGUCUCUAUCUUAUUUUUUAGAAUUUAAUCUUCAAAGAGAUAAAGCUUAAAUUUUUUAAAGGGACGAGAAGACCCUAUUGAGCUUAUAAUUUUAGGGUUGCUUAACAUUAGUUAUUUGGGGAGCAAUUUAUAAAUUUUAAUUGGGGUGAUUAAGGAAUAAAUAAGAAAAUAAUAUAGUAACUUCCUUAGAUUGAAAUAUUGUUAAAUAAAGUAACCAAUGUUAUUAUUGCUUUUAUAAUAGUUACCAUAGGGAUAACAGCGUAAUCUGUUUAGAGAGUUCUUAUUGAAAAAUGGGAUUGCGACCUCGAUGUUGGAUUAAAGUAACCUCAGGGUGCAGAAGCUU